AUUGAACGCUGGCGGCAGGCCUAACACAUGCAAGUCGAGCGGAUGAAGAGAGCUUGCUCUCUGAUUCAGCGGCGGACGGGUGAGUAAUGCCUAGGAAUCUGCCUGGUAGUGGGGGACAACGUUUCGAAAGGAACGCUAAUACCGCAUACGUACUACGUGAGAAAGCAGGGGACCUUCGGGCCUUGCGCUAUCAGAUGAGCCUAGGUCGGAUUAGCUAGUAGGUGAGGUAAUGGCUAACCUAGGCGACGAUCCGUAACUGGUCUGAGAGGAUGAUCAGUCACACUGGAACUGAGACAAGGUCCAGACUCCUACGGGAGGCAGCAGUGGGGAAUAUUGGACAAUGGGCGAAAGCCUGAUCCAGCCAUGCCGCGUGUGUGAAGAAGGUCUUCGGAUUGUAAAGCACUUUAAGUUGGGAGGAAGGGCAGUAAGUUAAUACCUUGCUGUUUUGACGUUACCAACAGAAUAAGCACCGGCUAACUUCGUGCCAGCCGCCGCCGUAAAAC
rnacentral:rRNA from 1 species